rnacentral:tRNA from 1 species
GAAAUAUUUAAAAAAUAAGCUUCUAACUUAAUUUUAAAGCAUAAUUAUGUUUAUAUUUCU